rnacentral:rRNA from 1 species
AACGUAGGGGACAAGCGUUAUCCGGAUUUACUGGGCGUAAAGCGCGCGCAGGUGGUGGGGCAAGUUGGCCGUGAAAGCUCCUGGCUUAACUGGGAGAGGUCGGUCAAAACUACCUGACUUGAGGAUGGAACAGGAGCGUAGAAUUCCCGGUGUAGUGGUGGAAUGCGUAGAUAUCGGGAGGAAUACCGGUGGCGAAGGCGGCGCUCUGGUCCAGCCCUGACACUGAGGCGCGAAAGCGUGGGGAGCAAACGGG